UACGUAGGGUGCAAGCGUUAAUCGGAAUUACUGGGCGUAAAGCGCGUGUAGGCGGCAGGGUGUGUCGGAUGUGAAAUCCCGUGGCUCAACCACGGAAGUGCACCCGAAACUACCCAGCUCGAGUCUCGGAGAGGAAGGUGGAAUGCUUGGUGUAGAGGUGAAAUUCGUAGAUAUCAAGCGGAACACCAGAGGCGAAGGCGGCUACCUGGACAAUUGCUGACGCUCAGGCACGAAAGCGUGGGGAGCAAAAGGG
rnacentral:rRNA from 1 species